rnacentral:rRNA from 1 species
CCUACGGGUGGCAGCAGUGAGGAAUAUUGGUCAAUGGGCGCGAGCCUGAACCAGCCAAGUAGCGUGAAGGAUGACUGCCCUACGGGUUGUAAACUUCUUUUAUAAAGGAAUAAAGUGAGGUACGCGUGCCUUUUUGUAAGUACUUUAUGAAUAAGGAUCGGCUAACUCCGUGCCAGCAGCCGCGGUAAUACGGAGGAUCCGAGCGUUAUCCGGAUUUAUUGGGUUUAAAGGGUGCGUAGAUGGUUUGUUAAGUCAGUGGUGAAAGUUUGCGGCUCAACCGUGAAAUUGCCAUUGAUACUGGCAGGCUAGAGUACAGUUGAGGUAGGCGGAAUGCAUGGUGUAGCGGUGAAAUGCUUAGAUAUCACGCAGAACUCCGAUUGCGAAGGCAGCCUACUAAGCUGCCACUGACAUUGAUGCUCGAAAGUGUGGGUAGCAAACAGGAUUAGAUACCCUGGUAGUC